GCAAUCCUUCUACCUUGGCCUCUCCGAAUGCUGGGAUUACAGGUGUGAGCCACUGAGCCUGGCCUGGUUUAUGCAUAUAUGUCUGCUCCAUGAAUUUUCAUCUGGCUGCUUGAAUUAUGGUCUUCACCUGGCAAAGAUCUGCAGUGCCAAGAAGAUUGGUGGAAACUCCAUACUUCUUAAAACUUUAACCGGAGAAAAGGUAUUGUCAUGUUUGCUUAUAUUCCAGUGGCCAAUAUACAUCAUAAGGCCAAACCCAAAAUAAAUGGAGGUGAAGAAGUAUACUCAUCUCACAGUAAAUCAUGGCAAAGUUGUGGAAGAAGAAAAAAGUUGUGAAAACAUUGCACUCUACCACUCCAAGGUUCCCCAAAGAGAGAUGAUGUUUUGAUAAAUAGAAGUAGUAAAAAAAAAAAAAAAAAAAAAAAGAGAGACAGUCUGAAUUGUGCAUUAAAGAUAGAUUGUUUAUAAAUAAGCAGAAUGUCCCAGCUACUCAGGAGGCUGAGGCAGGAGAAUUGCCUGAACCCAGGAGGCGGAGGUUGCGGUGAGCCGAGAUUGCGCCAUUGCACUCCAGCCUGGGUAACAAGAGCGAAACUCCGUCUCAAAAAAAAAAAUACAUAAAUAAAAUAAAAUAAAUAAGCA
rnacentral:lncRNA from 13 species